rnacentral:tRNA from 2 species
UCUUCAAUAGCUCAGUGGUAGAGCAGAUGGCUGUUAACCAUCGGGUCGCUGGUUCAAAUCCGGCUUGAGGAG